rnacentral:lncRNA from 1 species
GAUCCAACCCAGAGCUUCUUACAUGCUUGGCAAGACUCUUUAAACUUGUCUACAACACUAACCUGUUUUUAGAAAGUAAGAAUGCAUUCAGAAAAUAAAGUGCUAUUUUGCUGUUGAUUUGCUUUUAAUUCACUAGUACUAAUGUCUUGAAUAUUUGGUUUUACCAGAAUUUUCAACGAAUUGGAAUGUGUUGAAGUUUCCAUUUUCUGGUCUAAGACUAUAUCAGAAGUUCAGAUGUGGAUUAAAUACGGAUUGAGAGAAAUUCUAGAUGCAUCAGUGGCUUUUUGCUUGUUUUUAAAAAACUGAACAAAGAGUCUGGACAGAUAUUCCGUAGCACUUGUUAAGAGCACUUGGUGCUCUUUUAGAGGACCCAGUUUCCAUUUCCAGCACCUACAUGGUGGCUUACAGCCUUUGGUAACUCCAGUUCCAGGGGAUCUGACUCCCUCUUGUAUCCUCUGCAGGCACCAGGCAUUCACAUGGUACAUAUACAGACAUUCAGGCAAAGUGCUUAUGAACAUAAAUAUAAUAGAUGAAUCUAAAAACCAAAAACAAAACAAAAAAGGGAACAAUUAGAAGAAGACAUCUCCCAUUUACCAUCAUAGGGACAGCUGAGAAGAGAUGAAAUUCAUAAUAGACUUCAUGUGGAGACAGAUGUUGAGGGAUUCUCAGGUUUAGAAGAGACAUCCAGGCUAGAGACAGAAAGAGUCAAAUCUGGCAUCUAAGACUGUGAGAAGAAAUAAGGUCACACACACACACACACACACACAAACACAAGAGGUCUGGGAUUAAGCUCUAGACACAAACCACAAACAGGCAAGAAGAUAUUAGAUAUGAAUGAAGAGAAGGCACAAUCACGAGACAGGAAGAAAACCAUGAGAAUAUUUAAAAAACAAACUGAAAUGUUUUAACUAUAACAAAACCCAGUGCUGGGAAGUCACUACAAAGAAGGCAGUUCUGGGUUGAUGAGGAUGCUUGUAAUCUUGAUUGUGGAGAUGAAAUGAUUUCCCCCAGUUUAUACCUUAACUAUCAUCCUGGUCCUCCUGCUUCUACCUCCUGAGUGAUAGGCGUGUGCUACCACACCCAUCUCAAAUAUUGUUAUUCAUUAUCUAUUUAAAAGCUGUGGGGGCACUGAGAGCUGUAUAUUAUUUUCAUGUGUAGUAAUUAUUGGAGUUUUCAACUUGUCUAUAAUUAAUAUUCAUUAAGUGUUGGUUUAAAGUAUCACCGAGUUAAUUGAAUAAUUUGUUAAUAAUAUUAUCCCACGUAAUUUAAAGUACCUAUGUCUCUGUAAAAAGGUUUUCAUAAAAACGUAAGUCACUUUUGCUAUAUUUAUUCACUCAUUCAUUCAUCCUUCUUGAGGUUCCGAGUCUUCAACCAAGUUUCUUUUGCAUGAUGUCCACCACUGAGUUACAUUUCUAGUCUACAACUGACCAUUAGACAAAGUACUACUUCCAUUACUAAGAUAUACGGAAUGCAAGAUUUGAAAUAGUUUUAGUAGAGAAGUGGUAAACUAUUUCUUUUAGCUUCUAGCAUUCAAUAAUAACUUGCUUUGGAGGUAAGAAAAAAUGGAUAUGUUUUGAAUGGGGUAGAAAUUUCUUGAGUUUCUUAAUUUUAAUAUAUUGUUUUCUAUAGGUGAUAGGAAAUACAAGACCUUUCAAGAGAGGCUUUUUAUUCUCAGCCUUGUCUUAUUUGGGUUUUGAAACCUAUCAAAUCAUUUCUCAGGCUGCUGUGGUUCAUGCCACAGCCAAAGGUAAGCAUAAGCUAGAGAUCUUGAUUUAUUUUGUGGGUGAGUGAGUGUAUACCUCUGUAGGCAUAUGCAGAGGCCAGAGAUGAAUUUCAUGGCCUUUUCUUUGGCCCUCGGGCUCUGAGUUGUUGUUGUUGUUGUUAGUUUAUAUAUAUGGCUGUUAGAUUUAACUGCUGCCGUCUCCCCAGCCCCUGCAGCUUCUUUUCUGAGAUAAAGUCACUGAGCGUGGAGCUCUGCUUUCCAGUGCUAGGAUUAGAGAUGUAAUCUGUAAUUACACAAUCAGCUUUUUAUAUGGCUGCUGGGGAUCUAAACUCAGGUCCUCAUGCUUAUACAGGAAGCUCUCUACUUCCUGAACCAGCCUCCUACUCCUAGUGGUGAUAUUUUGUCAUUAGCUUAUUUGUAUGCAUAAUGAAAUUAAUGUUAUCUGUUCUUCUUUGUCGGUCAGAAUACACACACACACACACACACACACACACACACACGGUAGUGGACAACUUUCAGGAAUUCUCUCCUUUUACUGUGUGGAGCCAUGGAAUAGAACUUACCUUGUCAGUCUUGGCAGGGAGUUCCUUUAUCCACUUACCUCAUCAGCCCUCAUUUUAGGACUCUUAAACUAAGAAUUUUUAUGUUUCAUUUUGAAAAAUUUGAAGGUGCUUUGCAUGUGUAGAAAGAAACAAGAUAGCAAAAGGCAGGGAAUAGCCUACAAACAGUAGAGGUGAAGAUGACAGAAGUUUGUCACACUCUGCUUUAGAUGACAAAAUGAUCCUUUACUUCACUAGUGCCAAGGUGUUACACACUCCUGUUAUAAUAAAGCAACUACCCUCUAGUUGAGAACUUGGAGAGGAACCAUUUUAUUUACAGAUAGAAUACAGCUUAUAUCAAUCAUCAGAAAAGUGAUUGAAAAUUGGUGAAAUGCCAUUAUCUUCCUUCUCUAAUACAAAAGAGACUAAACACUUUAAGACUUACCCAUCAAAAAAUGUCUCCUUAAUUCACUUGCUAUAGUAAGUGGCAUGCUUUUAGUAUAUAAGAAAAGUACUACUUCAAUUUAUGUAUCGAUAUUUUCAUAACCCUAAAAGAGAAUAUGAUUGAGGAAGAAGAAUACUUAAUACUGAACUGAUGUUCUUUUAGAGUUCAGAUACAAGAACCUGAGGUUGUUAUUAAUUAGUUGGCAGGGCCAGGCAUGAGAGUACAUUUAGAUCUCUGUGAGUAAUAGGCCAGCCUGGUCUACAUAGCAAAUUCCAGGACAGCCAGAGGUACAUCGUGAGAUCCAACAUCAAAGAAACUGAAAAACAAUUUAAAAAACUAGUUAUUUCAUCUAUAUGGGACUAUCUUGUCUUUAAGAAAAUGGAUAAUUUAAGUCCGAUGUGUUGCACACACCUUUAAACCUAGUACUCAGGAGACGGAGACAGAUGGGUCUUUGUAACUUAAAGGCCAACCUGGUCUACCUACUGAUUCUACUGUGUACCAUGAUUACAUAGUGAGAUUCUGUCUAGGGUGAAAAAUAUCUGUAUAUAUUUGUUACAUUAAAAGCAUACCUUCGGGAGCUAGAUCUUCUUGAGGCUUUAUGCAUGUAUGGUAGUAGUGGUGAAGGUACAUGGGAGAAUAUGCCAUUACUAUCUUCUGAGGGGCAAUCAGGAGCUAGGAUGUGGUUAGUCCUACAUAUAUCUUCUUAGGAUUGCUGCAUGAUUCAUUCAUUCAUUCAUUCAUUCAUUCAUUCUCUUCCCCCAACCCUUGUAGCAUGUAUUAUACACAUACAUACAUACAUACAUACAUACAUAUAUAUUUUUAUAUAUGUAGUAAAAGGCUAUUUCAGCUUUUUGGGUUUUGUUUCAUUGUCCAUAUUUUGGAGAUUCUGUUUUUUUGUUUGUUUGUUUGUUUUGUUUGUUUGUUUUGAGACAGGGUCUCACUGUUUAGUCCUGGCUGGCCUAGAACCCUGUAUGUAGAAGAGCCUGACCAUGCCAAGCUAACUCAGCUUAAAAAAAACAAAACCAACCAAACAAACAAAAAAAAAAAACCAAAAACCCAACAACAGUAAAUCACUAGGGCAUGAUGGUGCCCACCUUCUAGUCCCAGCACACAGGUAGAGGCAGAUAAAUCUCUUUCAGUUCCAGGUUAGCCAAUUCACUAGUUAAGACCCUGUCUCAAAACUAUAAAAUUUUAAAAAAUGGAUUAAGUAAUAAGGCAUAUACAAGAACAUAGAAAUUUGGGGCAAAACAAUGAUAGUACAUAGCCUAUCCUAAUGAUGAAUAGGAACUAACAAAAUACAUUGUUUACAAGCUCCUGGUUACAAACAGUGCAUACUUGUGCAUAGAGUUGGUACCUGCCUGUCCUCCCAGCACCUUUGUAAUCACAUCACAUUCUGAACCUCAGAGGACUGAUUUCUUUUUUCUUUUUUGGUUCAAGACCAACUUGGGCUUCUUAAGGAGCCUCCUAAAAAAUAAACCC